CCUAUGGGGUGCACCAGGCGCGCAAACUUUACAAUGCGAGCAAUCGUGAUAAGGAAACCCUGAGUGCCUGUCGAUGCAGGCUGUUCAUAUAUCUAAAUCAUAUGUGAAGAAAGGGCAGGGCAAGACCGGUGCCAGCCGCCGCGGUAAUACCGGCUGCUCGAGUGAUGGCCACUAUUACUGGGUUUAAAGCGUCCGUAGCUUGACUGUUAGGUCCCUUGGGAAAUCUUCACGCUUAACGUGAAGGCGUCUAAGAGAUACCGGCAGUCUUGGAACUGGGAGAGGUAAACCGUACUUCGGGGGUAGGAGUGAAAUCUUGUAAUCCUCGAGGGACGACCUAUGGCGAAGGCAGUUUACCAGAACAGCUUCGACAGUGAGGGACGAAAGCUGGGGGAGCAAACGGGAUUAGAUACCCCGGUAGUCCCAGCCGUAAACAAUGUGCGUUAGGUGUGUCGGUAACCACGUGUUACUGAUGCGCCGAAGAGAAAUCGUGAAACGCACCACCUGGGAAGUACGGUCGCAAGGCUGAAACUUAAAGGAAUUGGCGGGGGAGCACCACAACAGGUGGAGCCUGCGGUUUAAUUGGAUUCAACGCCGGACAUCUCACCGGAUAAGACAGCUGAAUGAUUGUCAAUCUGAAGGUUUUACAUGACUAGCUGAGAGGAGGUGCAUGGCCGUCGUCAGUUCGUACUGUGAAGCAUCCUGUUAAGUCAGGCAACGAGCGAGACCCACGCCGACAAUUGCCAGCAGCAUCUCCGGAUGGCUGGGGACAUUGUCGGGACCGCCUCUGCUAAAGAGGAGGAAGGAAUGGGCAACGGUAGGUCAGCAUGCCCCGAAUUAUCCGGGCUACACGCGGGCUACAAUGGACGGGACAAUGGGUAACACCACCGAAAGGUGCAGUCAAUCUCCUAACCCCGUCCUUAGUUAGGAUUGCGGGUUGCAACUCACCCGCAUGAAUCUGGAAUCUGUAGUAAUCGCGUUUCACUAUAGCGCGGUGAAUACGUCCCUGCUCCUUGCACUCACCGCCCGUC
rnacentral:rRNA from 1 species